rnacentral:rRNA from 1 species
GAUGAACGCUAGCUACAGGCUUAACACAUGCAUGUCGAGGGGCAGCGAGAGGGAAGCUUGCUUCCUUUGAUGGCGACCGGCGCGACGGGUGAGUAACGCGUAUCCAACCCUUCCCCUUACUAGAGGAUAGCCCGGCGAAAGUCGGAUUAAUACUCUAUGUUCUCCUUUGAUGGCAUCAGAUGAGGAGCAAAGAUUCAUCGGUAAGGGAUGGGGAUGCGUCUGAUUAGCUUGCCGGCGGGGUAACGGCCCACCGGGGCAACGAUCAGUAGGGGUUCUGAGAGGAAGGUCCCCCACAUUGGUACUGAGACACGGACCAAACUCC